rnacentral:lncRNA from 1 species
UUUUAUGCGUUUACUUUUCUACAUUGGCUAGAGGUAUAGGGGGAGGGUUGAGAUCUCACAAACAUGUUUAACCCCGCCGCAUUUUUGCGCCUGUCCCAAGUCAGGAGCCUCUGGCCUUUGCUAGUCUUGUAUUAUUUUAAUUUUAGUUUCUUGUGUACAAUUUGGAAAUUAGUAUGGCGUUCAUUAUCACUGAACUAGUAUAUAUUUGUUUAGGGGCCAGUUGAAGGAAGCCUCCGGGUGCGGGAAUUUCUCGCUACAUUGAAGACCUGUUGGUGACCUUCUGCUGUUGUUUUUUUUUUCUAUGGUCGGGCUGUUGUCUCUUUGGCACAUUCCCCAUUUCCAUUCUCAAUUUUA